AGUUUCUUGGCAACUUCCUUAAUUCAUGUGUUAGUUACACGCACUAAUGAAGGGUGGGCUCAAAUCGCAUGACUACCCUUAAAUCAAGAAUAUAUACUUAAUCUGUUCUCCAAUUGAAAAAUAAAAAUAAAAUCUCAUUCUAAUUACGACGGAUCUUUCUACAAUCUUUCAUAUUCUAAUUAGCUUACGGUUCACGCUCCAAUCACCCCAUGCCACCAAUCAUUUCCACAAAAUUAAAUAGCAACCAUGCAUUAAUCUUGGAAUAUUUAUUCACCUUCCAUGGGGAAUUCUUGAUGGUCACAAGGUGGAAGCUUCUUAAAGGAGCACAUGAAAUCGAAGGAAAAUAAGUUUUGCAGCAGCUUAGGAAAAAAUCUUUGAAGCAUGCUAAGUUAACAGAAGACCAAGAAGUAUGAAAAAACAGAAGACCAAGCUUCGUAGUUUAUUGUUGUGUAUUGGAGUUUGAUUAAAUCAAUGUGUGUUUUGUAAUGAUCUUAGCAAAUUAGUUCAAACAAUGUAAUAUGUAGUGGAGGCCCAUUUAAUCUCAUGAAUCAUGAGGGGAAAUAAUGUAACUGAAAAGAACUUUUUGUGGGAAAUGGACGUCGUUGAUAUAUUUUGGCUUCACUCACAGUCCUAAUAUUUGUUGAAA